CGGGGUAGAGUAACGCGUGAGGAACCUGCCUCAAAGAGGGGGACAACAGUUGGAAACGACUGCUAAUACCGCAUAAGCCCACGGCUCGGCAUCGAGCAGAGGGAAAAGGAGCAAUCCGCUUUGAGAUGGCCUCGCGUCCGAUUAGCUAGUUGGUGAGGUAACGGCCCACCAAGGCAACGAUCGGUAGCCGGACUGAGAGGUUGAACGGCCACAUUGGGACUGAGACACGGCCCAG
rnacentral:rRNA from 1 species